GACGGACCGUACGAACGUUAUUCGGAAUUAUUGGGCGUAAAGCGCACGUAGGCGGCUCGGCAAGUCGGAUGUGAAAUCCCCAGGCUCAACUUGGGAACUGCAUCCGAUACUGGAUGGCUUGAAUUCGGGAGAGGGAUGCAGAAUUCCAGGUGUAGCGGUGAAAUGCGUAGAUAUCUGGAGGAAUACCGGUGGCGAAGGCGGCAUCCUGGACCGACAUUGACGCUGAGGAGCGAAAGCUAGGGGAGCAAACGGG
rnacentral:rRNA from 1 species